rnacentral:misc_RNA from 1 species
AACCAUUCUCACCUGCGGCUAGACCUGCGGAAGGAUCAUUACAGAGUUGCAAAACUCCCUAAACCAUUGUGAACGUUACCUAAACCGUUGCUUCGGCGGGCGGCCCGGGUCCUUCCCGGCGCCCAUCGGCCCUCGCGGGCGCCCGCCGGAGGUAAACCAAACUAUUGCAUUGUAUGGCCUCUCUGAGUCUUCUGUACUGAAUAAGUCAAAACUUUUAACAACGGAUCUCAGAUCGGAAGA